rnacentral:rRNA from 1 species
GACGAACGCUGGCGGCGUGCUUAACACAUGCAAGUCGAACGGAAAGGCCCUGCUUUUGUGGGGUGCUCGAGUGGCGAACGGGUGAGUAACACGUGAGUAACCUGCCCUUGACUUUGGGAUAACUUCAGGAAACUGGGGCUAAUACCGGAUAGGAGCUCCUGCUGCAUGGUGGGGGUUGGAAAGUUUCGGCGGUUGGGGAUGGACUCGCGGCUUAUCAGCUUGUUGGUGGGGUAGUGGCUUACCAAGGCUUUGACGGGUAGCCGGCCUGAGAGGGUGACCGGCCACAUUGGGACUGAGAUACGGCCCAGACUCCUACGGGAGGCAGCGGUGGGGAAUAUUGCACAAUGGGCGGAAGCCUGAUGCAGCAACGCCGCGUGCGGGAUGACGGCCUUCGGGUUGUAAACCGCUUUCGCCUGUGACGAAGCGUGAGUGACGGUAAUGGGUAAAGAAGCACCGGCUAACCACGUG